ACGCGGGGGCGGAGACGCCGCCGCCGGCGUCGGCGACGGUGACCUCGUCUAGAGCCGCGCCCCCUCCCGCGGCGGCGCCGAACGCUACAGCGACGGGCGGUGGAUUCGCCAGCGGCGCCCACGCCGUUGUUGACUUCCUCGAGGCUUUGAGUUGGUUGCAAAAUGUGGAACUUUCUCCCGGCCAUGAUGUGCUGUAUGUAUUUCCAAGGAUGAGAUGACGGAACGAAUUGCAUGGUGCAUAAUGACAUUUUGGUCAAUAGUGUUCGACAGGAAGCUUUUGAAAACGCAGUGCACCCAUCAUCAUCUCUAAAGAUAAAGUGUUCUUGUCAGUCACCCCAUGCAAGCGCUGACUCUCCAACAUGAUUAGACCAUGCACGAGUCCUUAAUCUACAAAUAGAGGUAUGAUUACUGGACAAAUAUGGCUGCAUGCAUGCUUAAGAUGUAAUGAAAAAAAAUGAACAACAUAUAAUUUUACUCCACGCAGAAGGAAAAAAUUGGAAAACCAUUUAUCCAGUUAUGAUAAAUUAAGAUAAUAUUUGGUAACAUAGAGUAAGGUACUGCCCAUCAAUCUUAAAUUAAAUAUGUAAGGUAAAAAAAAAUGAUCUACUUAUAUUAAAAGGGAGAAAAUUAAAAAGCCUAUUUAACUCCUAUAAUUAAGCAAAUUAUCUGGCUCACUACCAGAUAUAUAUAUAUGUCAAUUUUGUUUC